AGCACUUGUGUGUGUCUCUGUUUAAUUUGUAACAAAGCCUUACAGAUAGGUGCAAAUAGUAAAUCCUCUUUUGCAACCCAGAACUUAUUGCUGAUAGGAGAUUUUGGUGCAUAUAAGAAGGAAUAUA
ensembl:snoRNA